UGGAGAAUCUGUACACGGCCCUGCGGAACAUCGACAGAAGUGAGAUUGUUAACAUGUUGGAGGGCUCCGGCAGGCAGAGCAGAAACCUCAAACCAGACCGGAGGCAUGGGGACCGGGAGUACUCAUUGUCACCCUCCCAGGUGAAUGGUUACUCCUCGCUGCAGGACGAGCUGCUGUCCCCCGCCUCCCUGCACUACGCACUUCCCUCUCCACUGUGUGCAGACCAGUACUGGAACGAAGUGGCCGUCAUAGACGCCAUCCCCCUGGCGGCCACGGAGCAUGACACCAUGCUGGAGAUGUCUGACAUGCAGGUGUGGUCUUCGGGCCUCACACCCUCCCUGGUCACUGCUGAGGACUCCUCUCUGGAGUGCAGCAAGGCCGAGGACUCUGACGCCAUACCAGAGUGGAAGUUGGAGGGGGCACACUCAGAGGACACGCAGGGCCCGGAGCUGGGCUCUCAGGACCUGGUGGAGGACGACACAGUGGAUUCAGAUGCCACAAAUGGCCUGGCAGAUUUGCUAGGUCAGGAGGAAGG
rnacentral:lncRNA from 1 species